UUGCUUUCUUUUUUCUUUAGUGGGAAAUUAAGACAAUUUAUUCUAUAUAGCUAUUAAAAAAUAGAUGUCAUCUUCUAUUUCAGUUGGGCUUCCAGCAAGAAAGGGAAUUCUACUCAAAAGAGUUUAACCCAAAAGUGACUAUUUACAGAAGUGUAGGCAGAGUGAAGGGAAUUCACCAGGCAAGAUCCUCAAGGAACUAGCACCAACAGGAAGCUGUUACCACCUGGAGGCCUGAAGCAGCGAGGAGAAAAAACCAUUUGAUCAGCGCCCAGGAGGGCUGGAGUCCUGGAGGGACCACCCGGCAGGGGCUGUCACUGAAGAAGGAGGUAACCAUAGUCAGCAUAUGCCUGAAACAAGGAGCAGUGGGAGAAACAGCCUGAUCGUGUUCUCAUCCCAUGCUCUGACCUCCCAUUGGCUGAACCCAACCUGAUGUCAUGGCCAAGAGCGGGAAGUUGCCGGGCAGAGAGGCCAGCCUCCUGGGCACACAGUAGGCCAGAAGGACUGGAUCUGUGUAUGAUAACACAAUAGCCGGUACUCAUGAGAGAAGCCCCAGAGAUUUUGCUAGGCACUAAGAAUAGUCACCCUUCACCUCCAAUGAACCUCCCCAGCUUUGAAGACUGUGUGGACACAGAGCCUGGAUGACACUUGCUGUCCUGCCCAUGUGACUGACACGGCUUCCUCUUGCUCCAUCCCCACUGCCAAGCAGCAGACGAACAGCGCCAGACUGACCACGACCUCUUAGGCCAUCACAGCCCUGUGACUACUGGACAUCUUUUUAUCUGUCAUUUUAUUUCAAGGUGGUGACACAUAUAGCCAUGUGGAAGCUGAAUGAAAACCUCUCUGAAGUGAUUUUGAAGGAUGCAAAAAUUGAUAAAAAUCAGUCAACUUUUCGUAAAGCUUUUAGGAAGAAUGCAUGUAACAGUGCUCUAAUCUGGAAAAAGAAAACACUGAAAAUCAUUUAAAAAGCACUAAUGCCCCAUUUAGCUGUUCAGAGCAGUUUCUGUUUUUGGAUUAAAAGGAGGUAAGUCAUGCUUACUUCUGAGGAAGUGGUUACACGUGCAACCUUGAGGAAAAAAAAGUCACCAAUGUGAAUGGCAUCGCACCGCAUCACUGUGAAGAAAAUAUAAUUGUUUUAAUAAAGUCUUGUGGUUAAAAAUUUGUUAGACAAAAUGGUAUUAAUGAAGAGUGUGGAAAAGAAUUGAGAAGUAACUAUGUUUUACAUGAAAAUUAUUCAGUUACUUAGGCAAGCAAAUCUCUCAACUUCCAUAUGACAUUCUCCAAAUGUAAAGGGAAAAUUUACAUUCG
rnacentral:lncRNA from 1 species